rnacentral:rRNA from 1 species
CGAACGGCAGCGCGGGGCAACCUGGCGGCGAGUGGCGAACGGGUGAGUAAUAUAUCGGAACGUGCCCUGGAGUGGGGGAUAACGCAGCGAAAGUUGCGCUAAUACCGCAUACGAUCUAAGGAUGAAAGUGGGGGAUUCGCAAGAACCUCAUGCUCCUGGAGCGGCCGAUAUCUGAUUAGCUAGUUGGUGGGGUAAAGGCCUACCAAGGCAUCGAUCAGUAGCUGGUCUGAGAGGACGACCAGCCACACUGGAACUGAGACACGGUCCAGACUCCUACGGGAGGCAGCAGUGGGGAAUUUUGGACAAUGGGCGCAAGCCUGAUCCAGCAAUGCCGCGUGAGUGAAGAAGGCCUUCGGGUUGUAAAGCUCUUUUGUCAGGGAAGAAACGGUGAAGGCUAAUAUCCUUUGCUAAUGACGGUACCUGAAGAAUAAGCACCGGCUAACUACGUGCCAGCAGCCGCGGUAAUACGUAGGGUGCAAGCGUUAAUCGGAAUUACUGGGCGUAAAGCGUGCGCAGGCGGUUUUGUAAGUUUGUCGUGAAAUCCCCGGGCUCAACCUGGGAAUUGCGAUGAAGACUGCAAGGCUAGAAUCUGGCAGA